UCAGCAACGAUGAGUAGCUCGACUGAGAGGAUGAUCGGCCACACUGGGACUGAGACACGGCCCAGACUCCUACGGGAGGCAGCAGUGGGGAAUAUUGCGCAAUGGGGGAAACCCUGACGCAGCGACGCCGCGUGAGGGAUGAAGGCCUUCGGAUCGUAAACCUCUGUCAGGAGGGAAGAAACUGUUGGGGUAUAAUACGCCCGUUCACUGACGGUACCUCCAAAGGAAGCACCGGCUAACUCCGUGCCAGCAGCCGCGGUAAUACGGAGGGUGCGAGCGUUAAUCGGAAUCACUGGGCGUAAAGCGCACGUAGGCGGCGCAUUAAGUCGGACGUGAAAGCCCUCGGCUCAACCGAGGAAUGGCGUUUGAAACUGGUGUGCUGGAGUCUCGGAGAGGUUGGCGGAAUUCCAGGUGUAGGACUGAAAUCCGUAGAGAUCUGGAGGAACACCGGUGGCGAAGGCGGCCAACUGGA
rnacentral:rRNA from 1 species